rnacentral:rRNA from 1 species
UACGGGGGGUGCAAACGUUGCUCGGAAUCAUUGGGCGUAAAGCGCACGUAGGCGGCGCGUUAAGUCGGAUGUGAAAGCCCCGGGCUCAACCCGGGAAGUGCAUACGAAACUGGCGCGCUUGAAUAUGGAAGAGGGUCGCGGAAUUCCCGGUGUAGAGGUGAAAUUCGUAGAUAUCGGGAGGAACACCAGUGGCGAAGGCGGCGACCUGGGCCAAUAUUGACGCUGAGGUGCGAAAGCGUGGGAGCAA